rnacentral:misc_RNA from 1 species
GAACGCACCUUGCGCUCCUUGGUAUUCCGAGGAGCAUGCCUGUUUGAGUGUCAUGAAAUUCUCAACCUUUCAAGUUUUUCCAUUGGACAGCUUGUCAGGUUGGAUUUUGGGAGUUUGCUGGAUAUACCAAGUCCAGCUCUUCUUAAAUGCAUUAGCAAGAUCAUCGCUUCAAUUAUCUUUAAUAUGAUAAUUAUCUAUAUUAUUGAUGAUGAGCGUUCCCUUAUUUUAAGGAAUGAUCAGGCUUAUAAUAUAUAAUGGUCUUAGGACAAAUUAUUUGAAUCAUUUGACCUCAAAUCAGGUAGGACUACCCGCUGAACUUA